GAAUUUUCCUUUGGUUUCUAUCACCCAUCCAAUCCGACUCACCAUUACACCCCCACUCAACCCUCACUUCUCUGUUCACUUCUCAGACUCCCAACACUGUCACUCUCUCUCAUCCCUCACUAUUCUCUGCCUCUCCCAUUUGUCCCCCCUCUGCAACUCUCCUUCUCACUCUCGGCAAAACCGAGAACCACCACCGUAAUCCCUGGAGCUUUUGCGCUGAUUCCAGUUUUUUAGUAAUUUCUAAGAAACGCAGUCUGCGAUACCUGUUCCGGCCUGAUUUGAAGAAGAUUUCUCAAGCGACUGUAAUUUCAUGGUAACCGUCUUUCAGUUUUUUGGUUUGAACGCUAUAACCAGCAAUCUUUGAAAAAGAUCAAAGGGGCCAAGCGGUGGAGGAGUGGGUUAAUAGUUAUGUGUUCUUCUUGAUAAUUAAUAAGACUGCAGCAGCUGCAGCUCCACCAUCAUUUCUGAAAAAUUAGAUUUACUAAGUCAAUUACCUGCUUUGCAACAGCUUCUUUCUUGCCUUCUUGAUUGCCAGGUCAAGCUCUCUGAGUACAUUGGGAAUAAGUGUGUGAUUCUCUUUUUUUACGCAUUUGACGUCACAUUUGUUUGUCCUAUAGGACCUGGUAAGCCAACAGUUUUCAACUGUAUAAAUGAAAAUAGCUCCAUAUGAGAAGAAAGGAGGAACAAACUGAAGAAACAAACUCAUUUGAUUAAGGAAGUUCAACUCUACUCAUUGUUUCUUAUUUUAGAUAGGGUUGUGAUUGGAUUUCCACACAUAUACAAGUAGUACGGCUUAUCAUGUAUAUUUAAAACUUGCGACAUAUUUUAUACAGUUUUAAAACCCGCAGCAUCGCGCGGGCACUCAUGCUAGUUAUAUAUACUAAAAGCCAGUUGAAACUGGCACUGUUCAGCAAUAGUAAAAGGACGGAAAUGCCCUCCAAAUAAUUUUCUCAGCUGGGUUUCUCUCGGCUUCUGUACAGUGAAAGGGCUGUUUUGCCCUUUUGAUUCCACGCGUCCAUCAUCCGUGUAUGUUUUAGCUUUGGUUAUUCUGGAUCUUUCUUUUGCUUUCGCCUAUUCUCUCGCAUAUCUCCAGUUGCUUUGUUUCUCACCGUCUUUUUUCUUCGCCUUCGCUUCUGUUUUCUUCAUCGUGUUGCUUCGUUGUUCAAAACGUCGACCAUUUUGCUUAGUUGUUCUCCGAUUAAUGGUCACAGGUGUUAAAUUCUCUGCCUUUUUGGUUUGAUUCCAAUAAUUUUUUGGGUUUUUGGUUGGUUGGACCAGGGUUUUCCAAAAAUUUUGUGCCCAUCUUGGGUUCGCUUCGGACUUGGUUGCGACCGAUCUAAUCCGGCGUUUCCAGAUUCGGGAAACGGUCCCUUUCAGAUUUUUGGAUUUUCGAUUCUGAUUCUUGGAACUCUCUGUGCUAAAGGGCGGAGAUCGGGAUGAGAAGAAGAUAUUGAGAGAUGGCUCUUGAGGUCGCUGUCAAGGCCGCCUUGGGCGCCCCUCAUCUUCUCGGCGAUUACCCUUUCAGCCAAAGGGUUCUUCUGACCUUGGAGGAGAAGAAAGUGCCCUACAAAUUGCACUUAAUCAAUCUCAGCGACAACCCAGUGGUAUUUUACUUGGUUUGAAUUUUUGAUCCCGAAAAUACAUGCAGGCAUAGAUGGAAAUAUGUGAUUUUUGUACUUUUAAUGGAUUUUGGUGUAUUUUUUUUGGAGUGUCUGAGGAAUUGGGUUUGGGGUUUUUGUUGGUGAUUUGUAGGUUUACGGAAGUGAAUCCAGAGGGGAAGGUGUCUAUCACUGAGGAUAAACUUUUUGUCUUCAGCCAAUAACAAGAAUAAACAUUCUCCAUUGCUUCGCCCGCUUCUACCAACAAAUUGAAACCUAAACAUUAAAAUUUCAUGACAACGAUUUCACCCAUUUAUCAUAAAAUUGGUAGACAUAACUUCAUACCAUCUCAGAGCAGAAAUAAAGGAAGAUGAGGAGACAAAAAGAAGUACAAGGGGAUGCAUUUAGCUUCCAUUUUUGAGGUUCCAGGCACCCAAAAUCUGUGGUACCCUAGAAUUAACAAUGUAGCUGGAGUUCUCCACUGGCUUAAGCACAGUGGAGAACUCAAGUACAGAACUCUCUAUCUGUUUCUCAAUCUUGGAACCUCUGGCCUCUGCAAGAAGAAGCAAUUUGAAGGAUUAAAAUGCUGUCAUUUGGUAUAGAUGAUCGUGGUUUAGCAAAUUGAUAGCGAGAUGGAACACUCCUAACUAUGUUAUAAGGUUGUAUAGCAGCAAAACGUAGCACCGCAGCAUCGCGCGGGCAGUCUUGCUAGUAAUCUUCUAUAUCUCAUAAGAUUUCUACAUAAUAUUUACUUAUGAUUUACACAGUUACAUUCUUAAUUAAAUUAGAAAUGCAACAAAUUUUACCAAAUAAAAAAAUCUAUAUUUUAGAAAGGAAAAACAGACAAUUACAAACCUUUUAACUGUCGGAGUAUUAGCACUACAUUGAUAUAAAAACGAAAAAAUAAAGAAGAAAAAGCAACUUGUAGUUAGACGUACGCAAAGAUGAGGAAAGCAGCACGAGGAACAUGAACACAAAUACCCUUAAUUUGUCCAUUGGUGGCUAAAAUAUGUUCGAUCAAUAUUUUUUUUUUUCUUUCUCUUCAAGUUUUCAUGUGUGACUAAAACUUGUAUGUGGUCUAAAAUCAUAGUAAAUAGGAUGUUGGAUUUCCACACGUGUUCGAUUUCGAAAUUCCUCCUCUUUAAAAUUAUUGUAAUAAUUUCAAACUCUCUCCCUUCUCUUUAAUAAUAAUAAAAAAAUGUGUUAGUAAAUUUCUUUUAUUCAA